GACGAACGCUGGCGGCGUGCUUAACACAUGCAAGUCGAACGGAAAGGCCCUGCUUUUGUGGGGUGCUCGAGUGGCGAACGGGUGAGUAACACGUGAGUAACCUGCCCUUGACUUUGGGAUAACUUCAGGAAACUGGGGCUAAUACCGGAUAGGAGCUCCUGCUGCAUGGUGGGGGUUGGUAAGUUUCGGCGGUUGGGGAUGGACUCGCGGCUUAUCAGCUUGUUGGUGGGGUAGUGGCUUACCAAGGCUUUGACGGGUAGCCGGCCUGAGAGGGUGACCGGCCACAUUGGGACUGAGAUACGGCCCAGACUCCUACGGGCGGCAACAGUGGGGAAUAUUGCACAAUGGGCGGAAGCCUGAUGCAGCAACGCCGCGUGCGGGAUGACGGCCUUCGGGUUGUAAACCGCUUUCGCCUGUGACGAAGCGUGGGUGACGGUAAUGGGUAAAGAAGCACCGGCUAACUACGUG
rnacentral:rRNA from 1 species